rnacentral:rRNA from 1 species
GAUGAACGCUGGCGGCGUGCCUAAUACAUGCAAGUCGAGCGAACAGACGAGGAGCUUGCUCCUCUGACGUUAGCGGCGGACGGGUGAGUAACACGUGGAUAACCUACCUAUAAGACUGGGAUAACUUCGGGAAACCGGAGCUAAUACCGGAUAAUAUCUUGAACCGCAUGGUUCAAUAGUGAAAGACGGUUUUGCUGUCACUUAUAGAUGGAUCCGCGCCGCAUUAGCUAGUUGGUAAGGUAACGGCUUACCAAGGCAGCGAUGCGUAACCGACCUGAUAGGGUGAUCGGCCACACGGGAACUGAGACACGGUCCAGACUCCUACGAGAGGCAGCAGUAGGGAAUCUUCCGCAAUGGGCGAAAGCCUGACGGAGCAACGCCGCGUGAGUGAUGAAGGUCUUCGGAUCGUAAAACUCUGUUAUUAGGGAAGAACAAAUGUGUAAGUAACUAUGCACGUCUUGACGGUACCUAAUCAGAAAGCCACGGCUAACUACGUG